AACGAACGCUGGCGGCAUGCCUAACACAUGCAAGUCGAACGAGAUCUUCGGGUCUAGUGGCGCACGGGUGCGUAACGCGUGGGAAUCUGCCCUUUGGUUCGGAAUAACAGUUGGAAACGACUGCUAAUACCGGAUGAUGACGAAAGUCCAAAGAUUUAUCGCCGGAGGAUGAGCCCGCGUAGGAUUAGCUAGUUGGUGAGGUAAAGGCGCACCAAGGCGACGAUCCUUAGCUGGUCUGAGAGGAUGAUCAGCCACACUGGGACUGAGACACGGCCCAGACUCCUACGGGAGGCAGCAGUGGGGAAUAUUGGACAAUGGGCGAAAGCCUGAUCCAGCAAUGCCGCGUGAGUGAUGAAGGCCUUAGGGUUGUAAAGCUCUUUUACCCGGGAUGAUAAUGACAGUACCGGGAGAAUAAGCUCCGGCUAACUCCGUGCCAGCAGCCGCCGUAA
rnacentral:rRNA from 1 species